GAUUCCUACCCUUUUAUGUCUGCCUUUCUUAGGCCUUCAGCACACUCUGUCAAAAUUAAUUUGACACCAAGCUGGCUUUCUCUAGAAAGUCUGGGAAACUUCUAAGCACGAGAGCAAGAUUCAUGUGGGAAGAAUUACCACAGCCCUUUCCUUGGGGCAGUCCUGAGAUUAGAAUCCGCUGUCUCCAGUGACAAGCCACUAAAGGAAGAAGCCAUUUAUCAAGGCUCAGGGGCGCCCUCUUCAAACCACAGACAGGCUUCCAUCACCUCCAGAGCCUGCCUCCCUGUACACCUUCGCUCUGCUUGGAGAAGUUCUUCAUUUGCUUCUGGAAUCAGCUGCUGGAUCUGUGCCAGCGCACCUCACCUUCUGGUCCAGGAACCGCAAGGCACAAGGAGCCGGCCAAGCUGGGAAGACAUCACAGAAGUCAGUCCUGGUCGCCCAUCUGCUGCCAGAUUUCUUAGUGAGGAAGAUCGUUUCUGCCCAGACAGCAACAUAAUCUUUCCCCCAAUCCCUGGCACAGAGGCUGGGCCACCGUUGUCAACCUGCUCUGAGAACACAUUUAAUAUAUGCUGUGUCACUGGUGAAUCCUUGCGGAAUCCUGUUGGGCUCUGAGAGAGCACAGAACGCCAGCAUCGCAAAGGGGCAGGUCUAAGCCUUCACACAGUGCAAUUUUGAUUCACAUCAACUAAAAUAAAAUUUAAAACGUAACAUCAAUCAUAAUGCUGGCUGGCUUUUCUAUAUGACUCUGCAGGUUCACGCUCUUUUACUAUUUGUUUAUUUGCGGCUGCACGGGGUCUUCUCUGCUGCACGCGGGCUUUCCCCAGCUGCGGUGAGCAGGGCUUUACUCCUCCUUGCGGGGCUUGGGCUUCUCACGGUGGUCGCUUCUCUAGUUGCGGAGCACAGGCUCUGGGGUGAGUGGGCUUCAGCAGUUGCUGCACAGGCUGGGUUGUUCUGAGGCAUGUGGGAUCUUCCAGGGCCAGGGAUCACAUCCGUGUCCCCUGCAUUGGCAGGCAGAUUAUUUUUGGGGGGAGGGAGAUUCCUAACCACUGGGUCACUAGGGAAGUCCCCACAUGCUGUCAUUUUUAUUUUGGUUUUUAUAAUAAUCUAUGAAGAACAUAAACGGAGUAUUGCUGUUACUCCAACUGAGAAGCCAGAAACUUAGCAUGCCCAAGGUCACACAGCUACUGAAUGGCAAAACUGGGAUGGAAUCUGCAUCAGAGCUUGUUCUUCAGCACUUCAUCUCUUUACGACCCAGGGCUGCAGCAGCAGCCUCAGUGGCAGCACAAAAGGGGACUUCGAGACUGCCCACUGCCCUGAGCCCCCACAGGCCCUAGUAGUUGGGUGUGUGGCUCUUGAGAAUGUUCUCCGAGAUCCUAAGGACAGGACUAAGUGGAGGCUUGUGUCAGAGGAAGUGUCCUGGCUAAUUGUUCCCCAUCCCUGGUGAUGGGUAUCAUUUUAUUAAAUCUAUAAAUUGGUUAGGUUAAGACUAUAACAGAGGAAGAAUAAUAUUUGAAGACCUUCCCAAUUUAGCAAAGAAUGAAUAUUCUCAAACCUGCUGGAGGGCUAACCCAGAAACUCUAGCUUAUGGCCACGUUUCCCAUACACAUAUAUAAGAAGAUGUACAUGAGUUCAACCCGCUUAACAUAGUUGUCAAAGUACUGAUGAUUUUGUAAACUUAAUGGCUGCCAAGGUUAUGUUUGAUCAAUUCAUUCAAUUCCAUAAACAUUUACUGAACACUUCCUGUGUUUGGAAUGCCUAUGGACAGACACAUGGCUCAGGGCGGUACCAAGGCAACCUCUGUCAACAGGACCCCAGAACCUGCCUAACAGACCAGGAAGGAUUGAACUAUGGAAAUCAAAUUAAAAAGAACCCUAGCUUUGGGAGUUUCUAACUAAACUGAAUGUUUUCGGAGCAGUGACUGGUGAUCAGAAUGUCCUAUCCUCAUCUUGGACCUCAUUUUACCAAGCGGGUCAUAUCCUGUUUCUUCACGAUUCCAUCAUCCUAGCGCCAGCUCAGCCAAAAUGAGUUGACAUAGCAUCCAGGAAGUGCUGGAACCUGGCCAGAGCUGAGGCAGAGAUCACAAUUUCUCAUUCAGGGCUCAUCCCACAAGCAUUUAUUAAAUGCCUACUAUGUGCAAGGCAAAGUGGUGGAUACAGCGGUAAACAUGGCCAGGUGGUCCCCACCUCCAGGUCCUUUGUAGUGAGCAGGUCGCAAUAGUCUGUUCUCAUAACUGUCGUGGGGAGUGAGCUAACUGGGCCGAUGUCAGAAGAACGGCAUUAGUGAAAGAAAACGGCCAGAACAAUGUGACAGGACACGGAACCAGCGGCUGGAGCCCAGCCUGGUGUGCAGCGACUGGGAACAGAGAGGCUCUUCGGGAACAAAGGAGUUGAGCAAACCACGAUUCCCAGAGGCAGAAAGGCAAACAGACUAGGCUUUCUGAAAAUGGGUGCUAUGACCACAAACCAAGAGUUUCACGCUAAUUUCCGGACGCCACCUACACAUAUUGGUAUUGGCAUCAGCACUGUAUUGGAGUGGGGACAACAUCUCACAGGAAAUAUGAGUUUCAAAUGUUAUUAGGUUCAACAAAAAUAAAACUUCUUUAAUCUACUACCAGAAAAGAUUAUUAAGCAAAUUCAGCUAUAGUUCUCAAAAACUUCACUUGUACACAACAUAAACAGAUAAUAGGUUCUCACUGAGAAAUUACCAUAUUUUUCUUUGUGUCUUUGUUUCUUUUUCUUUUUGGCUGUGCCCCAAUGCUUGCAGGAUCUAGGCUUAUGGGAUCUCGGUUCCUCAACCAGGGCCAAGGCUGGAAACUGGGUCCCUGGAAUUCUCUGCACGUGUGUUUCCAGCUGUGUUACAGUGGGGCCUGCACAUGUAGUAAGUGCUAUGUAUGUUUUAUUGUUCAGUCACUCAGCUGUGUCUGACUCUUUGUGACCCCAUGGACUGUAGCCCACCAGGCCGCUCUGUUGAUGGGAUUUCCCAGGCAAGAUAUUGGAGUGGAUUACCAUUUCCUUCUCCAGGGGAUCUUCCCAACCCAGGGAUCAAACACACAUCUCCUGCAUUGACAGAUGGGUUCUUUACCACUGAGUCACAAGAGAAGCCCUCAGAUACAUGUUGACUAUAUUAUUAUUAUUAAGUCACUCUGUUAUACUCCAAGUCAGAAAAAUACUUAGCCUAUCCCCUCUUUUGUCCAUAGUCCUAGAGGUACUUUGGGGUGAACAUCUACUUAUUGCAUAAUCUUUUAAGAAAUUUCUUUUUAUCCUUGAGACAGUGUCCACAAAUUUUAUCUGGCACUUUGCACACUGCUGAGGCAUAGGAAAUUCCUUCCCUAAUACAAUAUUUUCAGACCACCAAGUCCUGGGAGGUGACAGCUGUAAUAAAUCUCGUGAGCUCUUCGGUCAGCAGCCACUUCUUAAUGGAAAGGUCUAUUUCUGACCCUCAGUUACAAAUGUCAAAGGCAGACCUUUCCCUCCCCUCAGGCUCCCUUCCCACUCUGCGGUCUUCGGCCACACUUUCUGGUCCUGCAGCUUGCCCCCCGGUUGAUAAGUGAGUGCUGCUGGGAUGUGACUUGGGGGCACGGAAAGGUCCUUGGACCUAAAAUAUCUUCUGCCCUGUGGGCUGGGCAUCUCAUCAUCAGUAUUGUUCUCUAAAGUCUGAGCAAAGGGGCUUCCCCUCCAAAUCCAGGACUAUAAAUGUGCCUUUGAAUUAGGACUUGUUAACAGCAGUCCCAAAAUAAACCACCCAUAUGGGGAGGGGGCAUUAACUCAUUACCUUCCCAAGCUCUAGGAGCAGGAGACCAAGGCUGAAGAUGUCUUCAGGAAAGGCACAAACCUGGGCCUGCAGACCAAUCUGCAAUGAUCCACAUGUUUUAGGUUAUACUUGUGGUGUCCUGAAGUUGUUUUUUAGUGACUUGCCAAUAUUUUAAAACCAGGAUACUUUAUAAUGAUUCUUGAGAAAUAAAAACUUAAAAAUAAAUGCUUUAGCAAUCUUGUCCUGCACCCCACAAAAUAACAGGAGUCUCAGGGAUUCCCUGCCAGUUUACCCACCACCCAGUGAGCCUGAGUUUAAAGUCAGAAAGCAAAAAAAAAAAAGUCAGAAAGCAGGCCUGGGCACCUGGGACUCAUCUGUUUGUUCUGUUUCAUUCCAAAUAUUUCUAUUAACUCUACAAAUACAAAAACCAAAACAGAAAUACAAAAGAUGAAAAAACAGAGAUGACACAAAGUGGCCUAAAUGGUCCUUGUCUUGAGAAAACUUAGGGGUUUAUUGAAAUAAUAAUAAAUCAUAAUA
rnacentral:lncRNA from 1 species